UCCUACGGGAGGCAGCAGUUAGGAAUAUUGGGCAAUGGGCGCAAGCCUGACCCAGCGACACCGCGUGUGGGAUGAAGGCCUUCGGGUUGUAAACCACUGUCGGGGGGAACGAAGCACGUGCGGGCGAACAGUCCGUACGAGUUGACGGUACUUCCAAAGGAAGCCACGGCUAACUCUGUGCCAGCAGCCGCGGUAAGACAGAGGUGGCGAGCGUUGUCCGGAUUCACUGGGCGUAAAGGGCGUGUAGGCGGUUUCGCAAGUCAGCCGUGAAAGGCAUCGGCUCAACCGAAGCAGUGCGACUGAGACUGCGAGGCUCGAGGACGGGAGAGGAAAGUGGAAUUCCUGGUGUAGCAGUGAAAUGCGUAGAUAUCAGGAAGAACACCAAUGGCGAAGGCGGCUUUCUGGCCCGUUUCUGACGCUGAGGCGCGAAAGCCAGGGGAGCGAACGGGAUUAGAUACCCCGGUAGC
rnacentral:rRNA from 1 species